rnacentral:rRNA from 1 species
UACGUAGGGUGCAAGCGUUAAUCGGAAUUACUGGGCGUAAAGCGUGCGCAGGCGGUUUGGUAAGACAGAUGUGAAAUCCCCGGGCUUAACCUGGGAACUGCAUUUGUGACUGGCGGGCUAGAGUAUGGCAGAGGGGGGUAGAAUUCCACGUGUAGCGGUGAAAUGCGUAGAGAUGUGGAGGAAUACCGAUGGCGAAGGCAGCCCCCUGGGCCAAUACUGACGCUCAUGCACGAAAGCGUGGGGAGCAAACAGG